rnacentral:tRNA from 1 species
GGAGUGGUGACCGAGAGGCCGAAGGUGGCUCCCUGCUAAGGAGUUAUAUCCCACAAGGAUAUCGGGGGUUCGAAUCCCCCCUGCUCCG